CCUACGGGAGGCAGCAGUGGGGAAUAUUGGACAAUGGGCGCAAGCCUGAUCCAGCAAUGCCGCGUGAGUGAUGAAGGCCUUCGGGUUGUAAAGCUCUUUUACCAGGGAUGAUAAUGACAGUACCUGGAGAAUAAGCUCCGGCUAACUCCGUGCCAGCAGCCGCGGUAAUACGGAGGGAGCUAGCGUUGUUCGGAAUUACUGGGCGUAAAGCGCACGUAGGCGGCGACUCAAGUCAGAGGUGAAAGCCCGGGGCUCAACCCCGGAACUGCCUUUGAAACUAGGUUGCUAGAAUCUUGGAGAGGUCAGUGGAAUUCCGAGUGUAGAGGUGAAAUUCGUAGAUAUUCGGAAGAACACCAGUGGCGAAGGCGACUGACUGGACAAGUAUUGACGCUGAGGCGCGAAAGCGUGGGGAGCAAACAGGAUUAGAUACCCUGGUAGUCCACGCCGUAAACGAUGAUAACUAGCUGUCCGGGCACUUGGUGCUUGGGUGGCGCAGCUAACGCAUUAAGUUAUCCGCCUGGGGAGUACGGUCGCAAGAUUAAAACUCAAAGGAAUUGACGG
rnacentral:rRNA from 1 species